rnacentral:tRNA from 1 species
UCCCUAGUAGCUCAGUUGGUAAAGAAUCCGCCUGCAAUGCAGGAGACCCUGGUUUGAUUCCUGGGUGGGGAA